rnacentral:rRNA from 1 species
UACGGAGGGUGCAAGCGUUAUCCGGAUUCACUGGGUUUAAAGGGUGCGUAGGAGGGCAGGUAAGUCAGUGGUAAAAUCCCCGAGCUUAACUUGGGAACUGCCGUUGAUACUAUCUGUCUUGAAUACCGUGGAGGUGAGCGGAAUAUGUCAUGUAGCGGUGAAAUGCUUAGAUAUGACAUAGAACACCAAUUGCGAAGGCAGCUCGCUACACGAAUAUUGACUCUGAGGCACGAAAGCGUGGGGAUCAAACAGG